UAGGGAAUCUUCCACAAUGGACGCAAGUCUGAUGGAGCAACGCCGCGUGAGUGAAGAAGGCUUUCGGGUCGUAAAACUCUGUUAUUGAAGAAGAACGUGCGUGACAGUAACUGGUCAUGCAGUGACGGUAUUCAAUCAGAAAGUCACGGCUAACUACGUGCCAGCAGCCGCGGUAAUACGUAGGUGGCAAGCGUUGUCCGGAUUUAUUGGGCGUAAAGCGAGUGCAGGCGGUCUUUUAAGUCUGAUGUGAAAGCCUUCGGCUUAACCGAAGAAGGGCAUCGGAAACUGGGAGACUUGAGUGCAGAAGAGGAGAGUGGAACUCCGUGUGUAGCGGUGAAAUGCGUAGAUAUAUGGAAGAACACCAGUGGCGAAGGCGGCUCUCUGGUCUGUAACUGACGCUGAGGCUCGAAAGCGUGGGUAGCAAACAGGAUUAGAUACCCUGGUAGU
rnacentral:rRNA from 1 species